GAUGAACGCUGGCGGCGUGCUUAACACAUGCAAGUCGAACGGAAAGGCUCCUGCUUGCAGGGGUACUCGAGUGGCGAACGGGUGAGUAACACGUGGGUGAUCUGCCCUGCACUUCGGGAUAAGCCUGGGAAACUGGGUCUAAUACCGGAUAGGACGAUGGUUUGGAUGCCAUUGUGGAAAGUUUUUCGGUGUGGGGUGAGCUCGCGGCCUAUCAGCUUGUUGGUGGGGUAAUGGCCUACCAAGGCGUCGACGGGUAGCCGGCCUGAGAGGGUGUACGGCCACAUUGGGACUGAGAUACGGCCCAGACUCCUACGGGAGGCAGCAGUGGGGAAUAUUGCACAAUGGGCGCAAGCCUGAUGCAGCGACGCCGCGUGGGGGAUGACGGCCUUCGGGUUGUAAACUCCUUUCGUCAGGGACGAAGCGAAAGUGACGGUACCUGGAUAAGAAGCACCGGCUAACUACGUG
rnacentral:rRNA from 1 species